UACGAAGGUCCCAAGCGUUGUUCGGAUUCAUUGGGCGUAAAGGGUGCGUAGGCGGCGCGGUAAGUCGGGUGUGAAAUCUCGGGGCUUAACUCCGAAACUGCAUUCGAUACUGCCGUGCUUGAGGACUGGAGAGGAGACUGGAAUUUACGGUGUAGCGGUGAAAUGCGUAGAUAUGCGGAGGAACACCAGUAGCGAAGGCGGCACUCUGGGCCGGAACUGACGCUGAGGAGCGAAAGCGUGGGUAGCAAACAGG
rnacentral:rRNA from 1 species